AUUGAACGCUGGCGGCAGGCCUAACACAUGCAAGUCGAGCGAGCGGCGGACGGGUGAGUAAUGUAUGGGGACUGCCCGAUAGAGGGGGAUAACUCCUGGAAACGGUAGCUAAUACCCCAUACUAUCGGAUAAUCCAUAUGGGAUUAGCUAGUAGGUGAGGUAAUGGCUCACCUCGGCGACGAUCCCUAGCUGGUCUGAGCGGAUGAUCAGCCACACUGGGACGGAGACACGGCCCAGACUCCUACGGAGGCAGCAGUGGGGAAUAUUGCACAAUGGGCGCAAGCCUGAUGCAGCCAUGCCGCGUGUAUGAAGAAGGCCCUAGGGUUGUAAAGUACUUUUGGCGGAGAGGCGGUAUCUGCAGAAUAAGCACCGGCUAACUACGUGCCAGCAGCCGCGGUAAUAC
rnacentral:rRNA from 1 species